UACGGAGGGUGCAAGCGUUACUCGGAAUCACUGGGCGUAAAGGGCGCGUAGGCGGGCUAUUAAGUCCUGUGUGAAAUCCAACAGCUUAACUGUUGAACUGCAUAGGAAACUGGUAGUCUAGAGUGUGGGAGAGGCAAAGGGAAUUAGCGGUGUAGGGGUAAAAUCCGUAGAGAUCGCUAAGAAUACCGAUUGCGAAGGCGCUUUGCUGGAACACUACUGACGCUGAGGCGCGAAAGCGUGGGGAGCAAACAGG
rnacentral:rRNA from 1 species